GAUCUCAAUCCCAACAACAGCCAUAACAGGAUGCCUGCCAUCCAAAUAUCUACUUGUUUUGAUGGCUCUAUGAUAAAUAGGUUGCACAACAGCUACUGGUGGAAAAAUAAAGAAGAGCGAUAUUAAAUGAGAGUUGUGAGCAUUAUAAGCAGGAGCAUGAUUAGAAGAUGAGCCUGUAGGAAGCAAGAGGUGAAGGUGUGUUGAUUUCUUGAGAGGAAGGAGAUUGUGAGCUUGGAGUCCAAGAUGUUCAUUGCCAACCAAUUCAUUCACAUUACCACUUCUGAGAUAAUCAUGUAGAGAAUUACUCUUAUGUUACUCUGUUCUUUGUAGAAAAAUAUAUUAGAGCACUUUAUUCAUGCUGGAGACUAUCAGAGUAAAGUGCUCUCAACAAGAUCAGUUUAAUCUUAUUGGCCUUUUAUCUGACAGUGGUGGUGUGAAUGGAAUGGGACCCUUUGAGAAUAAGCAAUGUGUGACCCCAAAUGUAAAAAACUACUUUACCUUUUGUUUU